AAAAACUGAAAGAUUAUGACAGAAAACCUUUUCAUUUGGAAUAACAUGCACCGAUAAAUCAAGACCAAGAAGGUGAAGCUGUCAUGAGUCAAACUAAAACAACAAAGGAGCAACGGAAGCAAUUUUCAGAGGGAAGACUCCAGGCGACCUCUUUGUCUCAGCAGGGGAAGGACGGGGACAAAGGAUAACACAAACUGAGAGCGUUUGUGUGAAAAAUAGACACAGAAUCACUCUAAGUGUGUGACUUCGGGAGCUGUGUGCAGUCACUCGAGGACAGGAAGAUAAAGUCACCUGACAUCAUCCAGACUGUAAAUAAAGACUCACCUGAAAGAUCGCAGGAGACGGUAUGCCUUACCCAGGUCUGAAACACGUCUGCAAAGAGGAGCCACGGCCAACUCCAUCUGUAACACAUGCAUAAAGCUUAUGUAUGACAUCAGAAGACUAAAGAAAUAAGAGUCUUUUGUUGUUUUUUUGGAGCUGGACAUUCCUAUUCCCCAUUUACUUUGUGUUUCAUGAUUGAAAGAAAGUUAAAUAUGGAUUCGAAACAAUAUGAGGAAUUUGACAGCCACAGUUUCCCAUUUACAUUGUGUUUAAUUGAUGAAAGAAAUCUGAAUACGGAUUUUAAACAACGCGAAGAAACCUAACGAAUGAAUUCAGAAGACUUCAGAAAAAUUACCUUUUUCUUGUCAUUUUUUGAGCUUGAGAGCCCCUCUUUCCAAAAUGAUGAUAACUGACUCGAAACAACAUGAGGAAAGCUUCCAUACAACAACAGAACACUUUAGACGGACCGUUUUUUCUACUUUUGGAGGUUUUUGGACCUUAACAGCCCUAGUUCCCGUUUACUUUGUGUUUCAUGUACAAAAGAAAAUUAGGAAGGCUGACCC